CGCCUCCUGAAAAUCUAUAGAAGGUCCAACCUGCCCAGUGAUUUACUUUCAACGGCCGCGGUACCCUGACCGUGCUAAGGUAGCGCAAUCACUUGCCCUUUAAUUGGGGGCUAGUAUGAAUGGUCAAACGAGGGUGGAACUGUCUCAUCAAGAUCGCCAGAAAUUGUCCUACAUGUGAAGAGACAUGUAUCUCACAAAAAGACGAGAAGACCCUGUCAAGCUUCACAUCCUCUGUGCCCUUCUAACCCCCAUGAGCACAUUAUGAUGUUUUGUUGGGGCAACAUAGGAACAAAAUCUUCCUUCUCAAUCCCCUUUCCUACACCAAAAAAUCCGGUAAAACCGAACCGAGACCAAGCUACUGCAGGGAUAACAGGCUAAUCCGCCUCAAGAGCCCACAUUGACAGGCGGGAUUGGCACCUCGAUGUUGGCUUAGGGACCCUCACUGGGGCAGCACCCAGUGAAAGGAGGUUUGUUCAACCUAUAACCCCCU
rnacentral:rRNA from 19 species